rnacentral:misc_RNA from 1 species
AACUUUCGGCAAUGGAUCACUUGGCUCUGGCAUCGAUGAAGAACGCAGCGAAAUGCGAUAAGUAAUGCGAAUUGCAGAUUUUCAGUGAAUCAUCGAAUCUUUGAACGCACCUUGCACCCUUUGGCAUUCCGAAGGGUAUGCUCGUUUGAGUGUCAUUGUACUCUCACACUUCCGGUCUUUGGAUUGGGAGCGGUGGACAUGGGUUUGCUGCCUCACGGUAGCUUGCCUCAAAUAUGUUAGUGCAGCUCUUGGUUGGACAUAGUACGGCGUGAUAAGUUCUUCGCCGGUGCCUCGCUUGCGGGGGUGGCCGAUCGGGGUGGUGUGCUCCAAACCGUCCGUGUUCGGACAAUCUCUGACAACUUGACCUCAAAUCGAGUAAGACUACCCGCUGAACUUAAGCAUAUCAAUAAGCGGAGGCU